GCAGGAGAUAAAAUCUUCUAAAGUAAGUUAAUGUGUGAUUAAAAAUUAAACUCUUUUUACAUGCAGUAAGUGAGUCACAGCCAGUUUAAGUGAGUUCUGAAAGCCAUUAAUUAGAAAUAAGAUAUGUUUUUUUUUUAUAAAAAAAAAAAGAACUAUUUGUCUCAUGCAAUUAAAGCAAAAUGCCAUUAAAACAAUGCAUUUUGGUGUUACGAGAACAUAGGGAGGAGAUGUUUACACUAUGAUGCUCUGAUUGUGAUGAUCUACAAUUUCACUGAAAACUCACAUUUUAGCAAAUCCAGAAUUUUAUUUUUUUUGCUGUCCUGCUAUUAGUUCCCUUGCAACAACUUGCAGGUAGGUAGUCUUGCAUCGCCUGCUAUGGAUACAGAAAUUUAUUUCAUAGCUUUGACUUACCAAGAGCUGUAAAGAAAAUUAAAGUAAAUAAAGCUUUAUUUAUCAUUACAAAACUAACAAUAAUUGUGUUUAUAUCUCAAAUUUACUUUCUACACAAAACAUGACUGACCAUGACCUCACUAUUUAGCUAGCAUUGUUAGAAGGGUAGUGUCAUUUCUAUGGAAUUUACACUACUGAAUAAAACAUUGAAAACCAUCUAUAACGUGUGUUAACCUUUUUCAUGAGUUUUCUUUAGCAAAUAACAUCAUAAUCCAGUCCAUACCAGGCAAACAUUACAAAUGAGAAGGAGAAACAGAAAUAGCAAUUUCUCCUUUUCUAUGCAUGCUUUCUUUAUUCUGACUGUCAGGUGUGAAGGACAGAGCUGUGGGCUGACCUUGACAGACAGGAAGCUAAGAUGGGGGCACCCAGUGGAAGGAUAAAUAGGUGCGAAUUUCUAAAUGUAAUAUUUCACAUCUCACAAAUACAUAUUUUUUAAACAUAGGGACAUGUGAGCAUUCAAUAUAACACAAAGAAUCCUGGGAAUUGGGAGUUCUCCUUUAAGACAUAUUUGGAUCCAUGUAAAUCGAGAAAGGACUUACAAAUUGAUUGAGCAAGGCAUUUCAGUGGACUGAAAUGUUGAUGCUUUCCUGACAAGAGAAGGACAUAUUUGGGCUAUUUUGGAAAUGUAUGUGAAGAAGGGUAGUUGCUCUGAAAUUAGUUGGUCGCCAUCACCAGCCUCAUACAAUAUAUCUUGAUAAAUGGUGUAUGUACAUAUACAUAUUUUUUUAAAGUGUAAUAUCUUUGGAGCAAUUAACAUUAUUACAUUGCACAGUGUUAACGUAUCCCAGCAAUACCAGUGUUUGAGAUCUGCACUUCCCCAGGAGUAUUAUGGGAAAUGCAGUUUACAAACAAUUGCAGUGCCACGGUUAGUCAUGGCAAUCUCAUCAGAACAGUACUUGGAUGGCAAAUCAUGCAUAAUGACUCACUCUCACAAGCUCACCUCCAUUUUACUCACUCCGGCAUCUGCAGCUAAAUUAACAUCCAGUAAAUAACAGAUCUACCACGGAAUAAAAUUACAAGUUUGGGAAAUAUAGAUGCUCCCAGCGAGGUGACUAUCUGCCCUCUUUCCAAUUUCCACAUUGUUUGGUAUGGAAUACAAGUAUAUUUUUUACUCAAUUCUGAUUCAGUUGUAUCUAGUAUUCAUUCUUUCUAAGGAACAAGGUGUGUCCUAUUUCAUUCAGAGACAAAACUUGAUAACUUGCUUUUAAAGCACAGGUAGGUUUUUUUGUGUGUUUUUUUUUGGGGGGGGGAGGGUUUCUUUAACUCAUCUACAAGAAUUCCUAGAUUACAUACAAAAAGAGGCAAAUCUUUAUGGCAAUUCAUAAUUUAAGGCAUAAAUAUUUGAUAUCAUGCCCACGUUGUAGCUUAUUUUUUUAUGCAAGGCACGUAUGGUAAAAGCAAAGGCAAACACGUUUUACUUAAUAGCUGAGUAUUUAUGCCAAUUAGCAUAAAAUAAGUUAGUAUUUUGGUUAAAAAUGUAAGAC
rnacentral:lncRNA from 1 species